UUGACAUGAGUUGCAUCAAGAAGCAAGCCUUGAUGGAGCCCCUUGUCGACACAGUUGAUCAGAAUCAAAUUUUUACGAACUGCGAGCUACUUAAGGUAAUGGAUAUCUCCAAGAUGGCUCGUGGGGAUGCUUCCUUCACUGCUCCUUUCCAACUUGUGGUAGAACGUGAUGAUUACAUCCAUGCUCUUUUGCAAGUGUCAUAAGUUGACAGGCUUCUCCACAUUUUAUUGUUUGGAUUAAGUUUUGUUGUGGUACAUGUAAUGAUUCAAACUGUAUAUGGUUUAAAGGAAAAAGCAUUUCUUU